rnacentral:rRNA from 1 species
GACGAACGCUGGCGGCGUGCUUAACACAUGCAAGUCGAGCGGUAAGGCCCUUUCGGGGGUACACGAGCGGCGAACGGGUGAGUAACACGUGGGUGACCUGCCCUCAGCUCUGGGAUAAGCCUGGGAAACCGGGUCUAAUACUGGAUAUGACUCCAUGACGCAUGUUGUGGGGUGGAAAGCCUUGUGCGGCUGAGGAUGGGCCCGCGGCCUAUCAGCUUGUUGGUGGGGUGANGGCCUACCAAGGCGACGACGGGUAGCCGGCCUGAGAGGGCGACCGGCCACACUGGGACUGAGACACGGCCCAGACUCCUACGGGAGGGCAGCAGUGGGGGAAUCUUGCGCAAUGGGCGAAAGCCCGACGCAGCGACGCCGCGUGAGGGAUGACGGCCUGGUGUAACGU